GACGAACGCUGGCGGCGUGCUUAACACAUGCAAGUCGAACGGAAAGGCCCUGCUUUUGUGGGGUGCUCGAGUGGCGAACGGGUGAGUAACACGUGAGUAACCUGCCCUUGACUUUGGGAUAACUUCAGGAAACUGGGGCUAAUACCGGAUAGGAGCUCCUGCUCCAUGGUGGGGGUUGGAAAGUUUCGGCGGUUGGGGAUGGACUCGCGGCUUAUCAGCUUGUUGGGGGGGUAGUGGCUUACCAAGGCUUUGACGGGUAGCCGGCCUGGGAGGGUGACCGGCCACAUUGGGCCUGAGGUACGGCCCAGACUCCUACGGGCGGCAGCAGUGGGGAAUAUUGCACAAUGGGCGGAAGCCUGAUGCAGCAACGCCGCGUGCGGGAUGCCGGCCUUCGGGUUGUAAACCGCUUUCGCCUGUGACGAAGCGUGAGUGACGGUAAUGGGUAAAGAAGCACCGGCUAACUACGUG
rnacentral:rRNA from 1 species